UACGAAGGGUGCAAGCGUUAAUCGGAAUUACUGGGCGUAAAGCGCGCGUAGGUGGUUCAGUAAGUUGGAAGUGAAAUCCCCGGGCUCAACCUGGGAACUGCUUUCAAAACUGCUGAGCUAGAGUACGGCAGAGGGGGAUGGAAUUCCGCGUGUAGCAGUGAAAUGCGUAGAUAUAGGAAGGAACACCAGUGGCGAAGGCGGCCCCCUGGCACAAUACUGACGCUGAGGUGCGAAAGCGUGGGGAGCAAACAGG
rnacentral:rRNA from 1 species